rnacentral:rRNA from 1 species
GACGAACGCUGGCGGCGUGCCUAAUACAUGCAAGUCGAACGCAGUGGGGACGGGUGCGUAACACGUGGGUAACCUCCCAUCAGAGGGGAGAACACUUGGAAAAAGGUGCUAAACCGAUACUGAUGGAUGGACCCGCAGUGCAUUAGCUAGUUGGUGAGGUAACGGCUCACCAAGGCCACGAUGCAUAGCCGACCUGAGAGGGUGAUCGGCCACACUGGGACUGAGACACGGCCCAGACUCCUACGGGAGGCAGCAGUAGGGAAUCUUGGGCAAUGGGCGAAAGCCUGACCGAGCAACGCCGCGUGAGUGAAGAAGGUUGUCGGAUCGUAAAGCUCUGUUGUUAGAGAGGCGUUAUCUAACCAGGAAGCCACGGCUAACUACGUGCCAGCAGCCGCGGUAAUAC